UUUUAUAUCAAUCGAUCUAAAAAUGUUACAUUUAAAGGGUGAAUACCACCGAAAUUUAAGUUUAAAGAAUGGUAUCAAGGUUCAAAUAUGUAAUGAACAGAGACGUGGGAUUCUAAUUGAGAUAAAAAAAGAACAAGACAUAAAUAAAAAAAGAACAAUGUCACGACUUUCUAAAUAUUAUUAGUAAGGUUUUAAAAUUCCCAUUUAAAGAUGACACUCUAUACAUAAAGGAGAUUGAAGAUUUAUGUUUGAAUCAAUUGAGAGUCUAUUCGAGGUAUUUUUUAUUGUUUAUUUCUUUUAAUUAGUUAACAUGAUGAGAAACUUUUUUAACUGAAAAUAAUUUCAAUUUAGUGACACCGACCUUAAAAUAAAGUAGGCUCUCGAUUCAGUUUUAUUUUGGAAUGUCAAUCGAAGAAUAAAGUUUUUGUUAGCUGUCUAUUGACCUUUUAUCGACCAUCACCGGAUCUAGAAAUUGAUCAGAGUUUAGGUUUCGGAGUUGGCAUCAUACUCUUGGCAAUGCUACUUUAGAUACGGUCUACAAUUAUAAAUUAGAACAUAAGACGUGGCCUAAAAACUACAGUGUCAUUUCCAAAUUUUGUAGAAACUGUAUCAAGCACGCAAAGUACCAAGAUAAAAAAAUGAAGCACCUGGUGAUGUGUCCUGAUAAAAUUCAUGAAUUAUUUAUGGAAAAACGUGUUGAUGUUUUAAAUGAGAGCAUAUUGACCACGAGUCAAAUUUUUGGAAUUCAACCCACCUCUGUUCACGUCGUGAAAAGAUUGAAUCCAUAUGGAGGUCAUUAGCAAAUCAAAUCGGCCUAUAGGAUAUGUGAAAAAGGCCUAUAACUCCUUUCACUACCAAACAAUGAAGCUGGUCUACUCCUUUGGUUAUUCAAGAAAAUAAACAAAGCCCAAGACUAGCAUAUGCUUCAGCAACUUAAAGAGCCAAAAUAA